UCCUCACGACGCCCGGCGAAGUAAAGGCACAGCAGAAACGUAUUUCCUAAACACUGCAUACAAAGAAUUCGUCACAGAAGAGGCUCAAUACAGAGGGUCAUGGGGAUCCCAGCAGUCACUGGGCGGCAGGCGGGGAGACACCCUGGGCAG